ACUACCACAUAAGAUGGAAGCAGGAGAGCUCACCUCUGUCCUCUUGUUUGAAAUUAACCUGUGGAAUGUUUGCUUUGUUGUUGCAUUUUAAGGAGAAUAGAGUCUUGAAGUUAAUAAUCCAUUGCUGCUCUCUAAAUCUGCAUAAAGAUCUCUAAUCCUACUUUGGCAAGAACCACCGCUCACUCUCCUCUUCCAAGCUGUGAGCCCUUCCACAGCAAUGAGGGCAGAGGGGCUUGGAGAGACCAAAGGGUAAGAAGAGACAAGGGAGUCGAAAGCACCGCCAUCUUCAGCAGAGUCCAGGGAAGAGAAACACAAGGCCCAUGACUGCAUCAUUUGUAGAGAAACCAUGAAGAAAGAGCUUUGCUUUGCAUUUAAAUACACAAUUCACUGGACAUGUUGUCUUGAGGACAAAAAUAAAGUGUUG